rnacentral:sRNA from 2 species
AUGUCCCACCCGUCCACUCCGUUUUCUGAGUGCACUGUCCUCACCGGCCCGACGACUGCUCGCUACGUCUUGUCAGCC